rnacentral:lncRNA from 1 species
GCUGAGUGCUUGCCUGUUACAUACAGGGUCCUGGGAUCAGUCCACAGCACUGCAAAAACUAAGGAAAACAAAAAUAAAGGCAAGCAGUCUUGUUUGAGUCUCUACUGUUUUAUAGUUACACCGUGCCACCUAGUAUACAUCAGAGGCCAGAGAAACCAGCUGAAGAUCUUCUCUUUGAUAUACAGGAAAAUUCAGAUGUAAUUAAAUUAUUUGGGUAAAUCAAUGAACUUGUUAAUUGCUCCCCUUUAAAGUGUAUUAGACACUAUGAGUCCAGUUAAUCAUCAUUUAUUAGACACAUAUGCGAGGCUGGGUCCUUUGUAUGUGUAGUAAUGAAGCCAGUGUAGUAGUCUAGAGGAAUCUGUUGAAAUGUUGGCCUGAACAGAGGCUCACAGGUCCAUGUACUUUGGUAAUGGGGCUGGAGAACUGGUAAGUUUUCAUCAAGAUUUCUAAGGAGGAACACGUAAUACUGAGUCUUAGUUAUCUUGCUCACUUCAAAUAUAUAAAGCGAAACUAUUAUCCUUCCCAUUAUACAUGAAUGGCACAAAUCUAGAUACUAAUCACUGUACAAAAAAAAAAAAAAAAAAAAAAAAAAAAAACCUUCAUUAAUAGAAAAUGAAGCCACUGUCGUCUUGGCAGCCUGCAUUGUAGGUGCAUCAAUGGACAGUUAGAAUGACCUAUAGAAAUAAAACUGUCUAAAAAAAAAAAAAAACAGCCACUAAAAUAUCUGAAUAAUGUGAAGAAGGGAGAUCUGCCUGUCUUCCAAAUAUUUCAGCAAGGGUUAAAGUUUGAUUGUUUUCCUCUUUGUAAAUCUCUUGCUACUUCCCAAGAAAGUCUGAUUCUAAUUUUAUAAUUUACAAAACACGAAAGAAACAUCAGUGGGAGGAGGCAGCUUACAAGGAAUUAGAAACAUGGGAAGAUAUAACAAAGAUGGAGUGUGGAAUUAGCUGGAACCUCAGCAUGGAGUAAUGGAAGCCAUGGCAAACAGAGGGUCCAAGAUCUCAGCUCUGGGAAGUGUAGGGCACUGGGAAGUGCAGGAGCAGAAUGUGGUGGGCUGAAACACAGUAAAGAAAUCAACUUGAUUAAAGACAUGUUUAAGACUGUGUCACAAAUUUUAAAAAGCAUGUCCCCCUAUUACUUCUUUAAAUUAAUCACUGUGAAAUCUCUUUCUUUUGAGGUUAGAAUAUAGACUUCGUUCUGAAACUGGUCUCAGAAGUAAUCCAUGUGUUUAUUUCUUCUUGGCCCUGACCUAUGGCUAUAACCAAUCUCAGGCAUAGUGAUUGGUGUAUUACAUUCAAAAUACUCGGGACAUAGUGGCUCUUGUUGUUUGCAUACACUCAAUGCCCAUAUGUAAUGAGGGUAUAAAAAAAUAAAAAGCCCCAGACAAAAGCAAACAAACAAAAAACAUCAUUGUUUCCAAAAACAAUUCAAAAAAGUUCCACAAGAUAUUCUGAGUCAAGGCAAUAUUACACUGUAAUCCUUUCAAUGCCAAUUUAUCUUAGCAUGGAAACCCUCACUUGGCUUUAUAAAACCUUAAA